rnacentral:rRNA from 1 species
GAUGAUGGCUAGGUUCAGGCUUAACACAUGCAAGUCGAGGGGCAGCAUGAUCGAAGCAUGCUUUGAGAGAUGGCGACCGGCGCACGGGUGAGUAACGCGUAUCCAACCUUCCCUAUAGUAGAGAAUACCCCGGCGAAAGUCGGAUUAAUGCUCUAUGUUGUAUUUAGAGGACAUCUGAAGAAUACCAAAGGUUUACCGCUAUAGGAUGGGGAUGCGUCUGAUUAGGUAGUAGGCGGGGUAACGACCCACCUAGCCGACGAUCAGUAGGGGUUCUGAGAGGAAGGUCCCCCACAUGGGAACUGAGACACGGUCCAAACUCCUACGGGAGGCAGCAGUGAGGAAUAUUGGUCAAUGGACGGAAGUCUGAACCAGCCAAGUAGCGCGCAGGACGACGGCCCUAUGGGUUGUAAGCUGCUUUUAUAUAGGGAUAAAGUCGGGGACGUGUCCCCGUUGUA